AUUGAACGCUGGCGGCAUGCCUUACACAUGCAAGUCGAACGGCAGCACGGGAGCUUGCUCCUGGUGGCGAGUGGCGAACGGGUGAGUAAUAUAUCGGAACGUACCCUAGAGUGGGGAUAACGCAGCGAAAGUUGCGCUAAUACCGCAUACGAUCUACGGAUGAAAGUGGGGGAUCGCAAGACCUCAUGCUCAUGGAGCGGCCGAUAUCUGAUUAGCUAGUUGGUGGGUAAGGCCUACCAAGGCUUCGAUCAGUAGCUGGUCUGAGAGGACGACCAGCCACACUGGAACUGAGACACGGUCCAGACUCC
rnacentral:rRNA from 1 species